rnacentral:rRNA from 2 species
GGCCGCAAGGUUAAAACUCAAAUGAAUUGACGGGGGCCCGCACAAGCGGUGGAGCAUGUGGUUUAAUUCGAUGCAACGCGAAGAACCUUACCUGGUCUUGACAUCCACAGAACUUUCCAGAGAUGGAUUGGUGCCUUCGGGAACUGUGAGACAGGUGCUGCAUGGCUGUCGUCAGCUCGUGUUGUGAAAUGUUGGGUUAAGUCCCGCAACGAGCGCAACCCUUAUCCUUUGUUGCCAGCG